GAUGAACGCUAGCUACAGGCUUAACACAUGCAAGUCGAGGGACCGGCGCACGGGUGAGUAACACGUAUCCAACCUGCCCUUUACUCGGGGAUAGCCUUUCGAAAGAAAGAUUAAUACCCGAUAUAAAGGAUGGGGAUGCGUUCCAUUAGGUUGUUGGUGAGGUAACGGCCCAACAAGCCUUCGAUGGCUAGGGGUUGUGAGAGGAAGGUCCCCCACAUGUGAACUGAGACACGGUCCAAACUCCUACGGAGGGCAGCAGUGAGGUAUAUUGGUCAAUGGGCGUUAGCCUGAACCAGCCAAGUAGCGUGAAGAAUGAAGGCUUAUGGGUCUUAAACUUCUUUUAUAGAAGAAUAUGUAUUAUAUGAAUAAGGAUCGGCUAACUCCGUGCCAGCAGCCGCGGUAAUAC
rnacentral:rRNA from 1 species